rnacentral:tRNA from 1 species
CAGGCGGUCGUAGAAGGGGCCGACCACCUGGCCGCUCGGGUCGGCCGGCUCGUUGAUCGGGUUGUAUCCCGCCACCCAC